GACGGAGGGUGCAAGCGUUGUUCGGAUUGACUGGGCGUAAAGGGCGUGUAGGCGGUUGGUCAAGUCUGAUGUGAAAGCCCGGGGCUCAGCCCCGGAAGGGCAUCGGAAACUAGCCAGCUGGAGCGCGAUAGAGGAGGGUGGAAUUCCUGGUGUAGCGGUGAAAUGCGUAGAUAUCAGGAGGAACACCGGCGGCGAAGGCGACUUCCUGGCCCGUUCUUGACGCUGAGGCGCGAAAGCUAGGGGAGCAAACGGG
rnacentral:rRNA from 1 species